rnacentral:tRNA from 1 species
UUCCUGGCAGUCCAGUGGUUAGGACUCGGAAUUUUCACUGCUGUAGGCCUGGGUUCAAUCCCUGUUCAGGAAA